rnacentral:rRNA from 1 species
UUAUAGAGUUGAUCUGUUACAAGAUGAUCGUGUGCGACUAUCAUGCAGUCGACGAGCUUUUCAUUGAGAUCGCUGCAUGCAACGAGAUUCUAUCAUUGAACGAGUGGCGGACGGGUGAGUAACACCGUGGGUAACCUGCCAUAAGUCGGGGGAUAACAUCUGGAAACAGAUGCUAAUACCGCAUAGAUUCCAAGAACCGCAUGGGUUCUAUAGUGAAAAGAUGGCGUCAGCUAUCGCUUUUAGAUGGACCCGCGGGCGUAUUAGCUAGUUGGUGAGGUAACGGCUCACCAAGGCGAUGAUACGUAGCCGACCUGAGAGGGUGAUCGGCCACACUGGGACUGAGACACGGCCCAAACUCCUACGGGAGGCAGCAGUAGGGAAUCUUCCACAAUGGGCGCAAGUCUGAUGGAGCAACGCCGCGUGAGUGAAGAAGGCUUUCGGGUCGUAAAACUCUGUUGUUAGAGAAGAACAAAUGGCAGAGUAACUGUUCACGUCGUGACGGUAUCCAACCAGAAAACCCCGGGUAAAUACGUGCCAGCAGCCGCGGUAAUACGUAGGUGGCAAGCGUUAUCCGGAAUUAUUGGGCGUAAAGCGAGCGCAGGCGGUUUUUUAAGUUUGAUGUGAAAACCCUCGGCUUAACCGAGGAAGGUCAUUGGAAACUGGGAAACUUGAGUGCAGAAGAGGACAGUGGAAUUCCAUGUGUAGCGGUGAAAUGCGCAGAUAUAUGGAAGAACCCCAGUGGCGAAGGCGGCUGUUUGGUCUGUAACUGACGCUGAGGCUCGAAAGCAUGGGGAGCGAACAGGAUUAGAUACCCUGGUAGUCCACGCCGUAAACGAUGAAUGCUAAGUGUUGGGGGGUUUCCGCCCUUCAGUGCCGCAGCUAACGCAAUAAGCACUCCGCCUGGAUCCCCCCUC